rnacentral:tRNA from 1 species
GAACAUGUGGUGUAAUGGUAGCACACUCAGUUCCUAACUGAGAGGUAAGGUUCGAAUCCUAAGAGUAAGUGUUCU